CUUAAACAUGUAUGUAUUAUUAGUAAGUGUAUCCUAGACAUGCAUACCUCUGUUGUCUACGGAGAACCUUGCAUGUUUACCACGUCUAUCUGACAAGUACGAGCAGCCGAUCCUAUUGCCGCGCAGCCGGCUGCUAAACCUGCAGAGGAAAGACCAAAGAUCCUAUCAAAUCAAAGCCCACGUGACUACGAGUACACUGCAGUCGACGUCAGCUCUGGCGCUCCUUGUCUUUUACUGCCUGAUCAUACUGGUUCUCUACAGCAUGGUACUGCACUACUACUACUACGCUCCUACUGAAGAAAAUAAACAGAAGGUAAUCUCAAUCUUUCGAGUAAUGGACAGCAGUACAAUUUAAAGCAAAUGACCUACCCUCAUUCAUGGCGUUCAAUGGCGUAGGUGCCCAUCCAUCGGCAACGGCAGGCCAGGCCAGAGUGGACGAGGGGGAAUUCAAUGGAGGAGGCAAAGUGGAGAGGGAACCAUUGGCACCCGCACUGUAGUUCCACUUGUGCGGUGUGGGUGGUGUAGAUGGAGUUAAUUCCGCAUCCACCCAGCUAGGGCAAGCAAGGGAAAGAGAAAUUAAGCAUGCGGCCGGACUCGUUUCUCACCGGUGCAUGUCCUCUCCUCAUCAUGGUUGCUUCCAUUCUCAUCUUGAGCAUGGAAAGGUGAUGCUUCUCUUCCUCCAAAUGCCGCUUCCUCUCGGUGAAACUGUGGAACUAGUAGAAAAGUUCAUGGUCAAUGUUCUGGCGCUGUCGGAAACUCGCAAUCUCGCUUGUUUUUUGGUCCAUUUUGGCAAGAUUCUUCCCGGCACAGUAGCUAGUAAGAGCAUCUACCCCGGACUUAGCAAAUAUGACCUCUGUUGCGAACGUGUCCUUUUUAAGUCCUUACUUUUUCGUUCGCGUAGCCGCAUUUUUUAUAUAUCCGGUGACUUGUAGAUGGUUCAUGAAGAAGAGAGAAGAAAAAGAAAAAGAAAAUAAAAGAAAAAUAUAUUCUGGGGUGGGGUUGCGUCCUACGUGAUGGACUGACCAGACGUGUUUGAACGCGUUCACGAGC
rnacentral:lncRNA from 1 species